AAGUUGUGAGGCCUUGUGACCAAGCUCCUUCCGGGGGGUCUGGUGGACUGUGGCUGCAGAUAGCAGCAUUCUUGGUGGUGUACCAACCUGUUGCUUCAUGAGCUAUCCUUAGGGAUCGUAGAGCUUUCC